rnacentral:rRNA from 1 species
GAUGAACGCUGGCGGCGUGCCUAAUACAUGCAAGUCGAGCGAACGGACGAGAAGCUUGUUCUUCUGAUGUUUGCGGCGGGCGGGUGUGUAACGCGUGGAUACCCUCCCUAUGAGACGGGGAUAACUUCGAGAAGCCGGAGCUAAUACCGGAUAAUAUUUUGAAGCGUAUGGUUCGAUAGAGAAAUGCGGUCUUGCUGUCACUUGUAGAUGGAUCGGCGCUGAAUUAGUUAGUUGGGAAGGUAACGGCUUACCAAGGCAACGAUGAUUAGCCGACUGGGGAGGGGGACGGCCAACACUGGAACUGGACCACGCCCAAGACUCCUAGGGGAGGCAGAGGAAGGGAACCUUGGCCAAUGGGCGAAGGCCUGACGGAGCAACGCCGCGGGAGUGAUGAAGGUCUCCGGAUCUUAAGACCUUUUUAUUAGGGAAGAACAGAGGUGUAAGGAAAUGUGCACAUCGUGACGGUACCUAACCAGAAAGCCACGGCUAACUACGUG